CCUACGGGAGGCAGCAGUGGGGAAUAUUGCACAAUGGGCGAAAGCCUGAUGCAGCAACGCCGCGUGAGCGAUGAAGGCCUUCGGGUCGUAAAGCUCUGUCCUCAAGGAAGAUAAUUACGGUACUUGAGGAGGACGCCCCGGCUAACUACGUGCCAGCAGCCGCGGUAAUACGUAGGGGGCUAGCGUUAUCCGGAAUUACUGGGCGUAAAGGGGGCGUAGGUGGUUUCUUAAGUCAGAGGUGAAAGGAUACGGCUCAACCGUAGUAAGCCUUUGAAACUGGGGAACUUGAGUGCAGGAGAGGAGAGUGGAAUUCCUAGUGUAGCGGUGAAAUGCGUAGAUAUUAGGAGGAACACCAGUUGCGAAGGCGGCUCGCUGGACUGUAACUGACACUGAGGCACGAAAGCGUGGGGAGCAAACAGGAUUAGAUACCCUUGUAGUC
rnacentral:rRNA from 1 species